rnacentral:rRNA from 1 species
ACUGCUCAGUAACACGUGGACAACCUGCCCUUAGGUUGGGUAUAAACCCGGGAAACUGGGUAUAAUACCCGAUAGGUCUCGAUUGCUGGAAUGCAUCGAGAUUUAAAGCUCCGGCGCCUAAGGAUGGGUCUGCGGCCUAUCAGGUAGUAGUGGGUGUAGCGUACCUACUAGCCUACGACGGGUACGGGUUGUGAGAGCAAGAGCCCGGAGAUGGAUUCUGAGACACGAAUCCAGGCCCUACGGGGUGCAGCAGGCGCGAAAACUUUACAAUGCUGGCAACAGCGAUAAGGGAACCUCGAGUGCCAGGUUACAAAUCUGGCUGUCGAGAUGCCUAAAAAGCACUUCAUAGCAAGGGCCGGGCAAGACCGGUGCCAGCCGCCGCGGUAACACCGGCGGCUCGAGUGGUAACCGUUAUUAUUGGGUCUAAAGGGUCUGUAGCCGGCCGGAUAAGUCUCUUGAGAAAUCUGGCAGCUUAACUGUCAGGCUUUCAGGAGAUACUGUCUGGCUCGAGGCCGGGAGAGGUGAGAGGUACUCCAGGGGUAGGGGUGAAAUCUUGUAAUCCUUGAAGGACCACCAGUGGCGAAGGCGUCUCACCAGAACGGACCUGACGGCAAGGGACGAAAGCUAGGGGCACGAACCGGAUUAGAUACCCGGGUAGUCCUAGCCGUAAACGAUACUCGCUAGGUGUCGGCCACGGUGCGACCGUUGUCGGUGCCGUAGGGAAGCCGUGAAGCGAGCCACCUGGGAAGUACGGCCGCAAGGCUGAAACUUAAAGGAAUUGGCGGGGGAGCACCACAACGGGUGGAGCUUGCGGUUUAAUUGGAUUCAACGCCGGAAAUCUUACCGGGACCAACAGCAAUAUGAAGGCCAGGCUGAAGACUUUGCCGGAUUAGCUGAGAGGUGGUGCAUGGCCGUCGUCAGUUCGUACUGUGAAGCAUCCUGUUAAGUCAGGCAACGAGCGAGACCCCUACC